CGGAAGAGUGAAAACAAGUUUUUACUCCUGAUGUAAUGGAAGGCAACAGGCACAAUAUGGGAAUGAGAAGCAAACAUAAGAAUGAGAAAUUUAGACAGCUCUGUCAGAAGAGAUCACUGUCCAUUAAGUGGAAGUGGUGGACAAGGGGAGAAACAGUUGGUGUUUUCAAGUAAGAGUACCAGAAAGGCAGAAAGGAGAGACCUACUUAAAUA
rnacentral:lncRNA from 1 species